rnacentral:rRNA from 1 species
GCCACGAGACCGAACAAGUGUAAAGUUGAAAAGAACUUUGAAGAGAGAGUUCAACGAGUACGUGAAACCGUUCGGGGGACGAGACCCGAUGAACGCGUCGGCGAGGACUCAGUGUUGGCCGAUCCGAUUUUCCUCCAGUGGAACGUCGCAACUCGCUGGAAAGCGGUCGUGGCGGUUUAGGAGCGCUUGCCGGAGUUCCGGCGAUACGCCGCGCCGAGCCGGCUCCGAUCGUCUUCUUCGGUUCAUGGGCGCCUUG